rnacentral:rRNA from 1 species
GAUCCUGGCUCAGGAUGAACGCUGGCGGCGUGCUUAACACAUGCAAGUCGAACGGGAAAUAUUUUAUUGAAGCUUCGGCAGAUUUAGCUUGUUUCUAGUGGCGGACGGGUGAGUAACGCGUGGGUAACCUGCCUUAUACUAGGGGAUAACAGCCAGAAAUGACUGCUAAUACCGCAUAAGCGCACAGAACCGCAUGGUUCGGUGUGAAAAACUCCGGUGGUAUAAGAUGGACCCGCGUUGGAUUAG